rnacentral:rRNA from 1 species
UACAGAGGGUGCAAGCGUUAAUCGGAAUUACUGGGCGUAAAGCGUGCGUAGUCGGUUAUCUAAGUCGGAUGUGAAAUCCCCGGGCUCAACCUGGGAAUUGCAUUCGAUACUGGAUAGCUAGAGUUCGGCAGAGGGAAGUGGAAUUUCGGGUGUAGCGGUGAAAUGCGUAGAUAUCCGAAGGAACAUCAGUGGCGAAAGCGACUUCCUGGACCAGAACUGACGAUCAGGCACGAAAGCGUGGGAAGCAAACAGG